AGAGUUUGAUCCUGGCUCAGAUUGAACGCUGGCGGCAGGCUUAACACAUGCAAGUCGAGCGGAGAGAGGUAGCUUGCUACUGAUCUUAGCGGCGGACGGGUGAGUAAUGCUUAGGAAUCUGCCUAUUAGUGGGGGACAACAUCUCGAAAGGGAUGCUAAUACCGCAUACGUCCUACGGGAGAAAGCAGGGGAUCUUCGGACCUUGCGCUAAUAGAUGAGCCUAAGUCGGAUUAGCUAGUUGGUGGGGUAAAGGCCUACCAAGGCGACGAUCUGUAGCGGGUCUGAGAGGAUGAUCCGCCACACUGGGACUGAGACACGGCCCAGACUCCUACGGGAGGCAGCAGUGGGGAAUAUUGGACAAUGGGGGGAACCCUGAUCCAGCCAUGCCGCGUGUGUGAAGAAGGCCUUAUGGUUGUAAAGCACUUUAAGCGAGGAGGAGGCUACUUUAGUUAAUACCUAGAGAUAGUGGACGUUACUCGCAGAAUAAGCACCGGCUAACUCUGUGCCAGCAGCCGCGGUAAUACAGAGGGUGCAAGCGUUAAUCGGAUUUACUGGGCGUAAAGCGCGCGUAGGCGGCUAAUUAAGUCAAAUGUGAAAUCCCCGAGCUUAACUUGGGAAUUGCAUUCGAUACUGGUUAGCUAGAGUGUGGGAGAGGAUGGUAGAAUUCCAGGUGUAGCGGUGAAAUGCGUAGAGAUCUGGAGGAAUACCGAUGGCGAAGGCAGCCAUCUGGCCUAACACUGACGCUGAGGUGCGAAAGCAUGGGGAGCAAACAGGAUUAGAUACCCUGGUAGUCCAUGCCGUAAACGAUGUCUACUAGCCGUUGGGGCCUUUGAGGCUUUAGUGGCGCAGCUAACGCGAUAAGUAGACCGCCUGGGGAGUACGGUCGCAAGACUAAAACUCAAAUGAAUUGACGGGGGCCCGCACAAGCGGUGGAGCAUGUGGUUUAAUUCGAUGCAACGCGAAGAACCUUACCUGGCCUUGACAUAGUAAGAACUUUCCAGAGAUGGAUUGGUGCCUUCGGGAACUUACAUACAGGUGCUGCAUGGCUGUCGUCAGCUCGUGUCGUGAGAUGUUGGGUUAAGUCCCGCAACGAGCGCAACCCUUUUCCUUAUUUGCCAGCGAGUAAUGUCGGGAACUUUAAGGAUACUGCCAGUGACAAACUGGAGGAAGGCGGGGACGACGUCAAGUCAUCAUGGCCCUUACGGCCAGGGCUACACACGUGCUACAAUGGUCGGUACAAAGGGUUGCUACACAGCGAUGUGAUGCUAAUCUCAAAAAGCCGAUCGUAGUCCGGAUUGGAGUCUGCAACUCGACUCCAUGAAGUCGGAAUCGCUAGUAAUCGCGGAUCAGAAUGCCGCGGUGAAUACGUUCCCGGGCCUUGUUCACACCGUCCGUCACACCAUGGGAGUUUGUUGCACCAGAAGUAGCUAGCCUAACUGCAAAGAGGGCGGUUACCACGGUGUGGCCGAUGACUGGGGUGAAGUCGUAACAAAGGGACC
rnacentral:rRNA from 1 species